UUCGCUUCUCAGCAGCAUGGCCUCUGGUAGCAGCUCUCUGCCUUCAAAGGUCAGUUCGCUCUUUUCUCUGAGGGCCCCCGGCUUGGCUGCCACCUAAUGGCUCUACAGGAAGCAUGACAUUGGCAACUGCUGAGCUUCUGGAGAGGUCGCAGGAAGCUCAGGAUCAUGGCAGAAUGUGAAGGGGGAGCACACAGUCACACGGUGAAAGCUGAAGCAAGAGGAGUGGGAGGAGGUGCCACACGCUUAAACAAGCAGAUCUUGAUCCCUGCAAUGUGGACACUGGUAACUGCAUUACACAAAUAAGGACAUGGAGGCUUAGAGAGGUGAGGCCAACCUGGCCGAUAUCGCAGCUGGGAAACUAUGAAGCUGGACUCCAUCCACACCAGGUAGCCCCUGUAACUGCUGUACAAGG